CCUACGGGCGGCAGCAGUGAGGAAUAUUGGUCAAUGGGCGCGAGCCUGAACCAGCCAAGUAGCGUGAAGGAUGACUGCCCUACGGGUUGUAAACUUCUUUUGUAAAGGCAUAAAGUGAGGCACGUGUACCUUUUUGUAUGUACUUUAUGAAUAAGGAUCGGCUAACUCCGUGCCAGCAGCCGCGGGAAUACGGAGGAUCCGGGCGUUGUUCGGAUUUAUUGGGGUUAAAGGGAGCGUAGAUGGGUUUUUAAGUCAGUUGGGAAAGUUUGCGGGUCAACCGUAGAAUUGCAAUUGAUACUGGCAGCCUUGAGUACAGUAGAGGUAGGCGGAAUUCGUGGUGUAGCGGUGAAAUGCUUAGAUAUCACGAAGAACUCCGAUUGCGAAGGCAGCCUACUAAACUGCCACUGACAUUGAUGCUCGAAAGUGUGGGUAUCAAACAGGAUUAGAUACCCCUGUAGUC
rnacentral:rRNA from 1 species